GCUCAGUAGCUUAAUGGUAGAGUGCUUGCCUAGCAUAUGUGAGGCACUGAGUUCGAUCCUCAGGACCA
rnacentral:tRNA from 1 species